rnacentral:tRNA from 1 species
GCCUGAGUGGCGGAAUUGGUAGACGCGCACGACUCAAAAUCGUGUGUCGCGAGACGUGCCGGUUCGAUUCCGGCCUCAGGUA